AGACUUGAAGCCACACAGGCAGGUCGGGCAGGCGGGUCGCAGGUUGUAAAUCCAUGUGGCGGGGGCUUUGGACCCUGGCGGCCCAAGCGGCACGUGGGCCUCGCAGCCGCAGAACCCCCCCACCUGGGGCAUCUCGCGAUCAUCGAGCCCUCGGUCUACUUGACAAUGAGGCUGAGCCUCCCAGGUGCGCUGAUUCGCCUCCCCUCCGGUUCCAGAUUGUGCACUCGCCGGAGCAGCGGCCCACCAGCCCCCGGCUCCGGCGCCACCAUCUUCGCGCUAAGCUCUGGCCAAGGCCGCUGCGGCAUCGCGGUGAUCCGGACCAGCGGCUCCGCCAGCGGCCACGCCCUCCGAAUUCUCACGGCACCCCGAGACCUGCCCCCUGCUCGCCACGCCAGCGUGCGCCUCCUCAGAGACCCCCGCUCCGGGGAGCCUCUGGACCGCGCACUGGUACUCUGGUUCCCAGGUCCCCAGAGUUUCACUGGUGAGGACUGCGUGGAGUUCCACGUGCAUGGAGGCCCGGCAGUGGUGAGCGGCGUCCUGCAGGCCUUGGGCAGCGUGCCAGGGCUUCGACCGGCGGAGGCAGGCGAGUUCACCAGGCGGGCGUUCGCCAAUGGGAAGCUGAACCUGACCGAAGUGGAGGGGCUGGCGGACCUUAUCCACGCAGAAACCGAGGCGCAGCGGCGGCAGGCCCUCAGGCAGCUGGACGGGGAGCUGGGCCACCUCUGCCGUGGCUGGGCCGAGACCCUCACCAAAGCUCUUGCCCACGUGGAGGCCUAUAUCGAUUUCGGCGAGGAUGACAACCUGGAGGAGGGGGUCCUGGAGCAAGCCGACAUCGAAGUACGGGCACUGGAGGUGGCCCUGGGUGCACAUCUACGAGAUGCCAGGCGCGGGCAGAGGCUCCGCUCAGGGGCGCACGUAGUGGUCACUGGACCCCCCAAUGCGGGCAAGAGCAGCCUGGUGAACCUGCUCAGUCGGAAACCCGUGUCCAUCGUGUCCCCGGAGCCAGGGACCACCCGUGACGUGC
rnacentral:sRNA from 1 species